CAGCCGCCGCGGUAAUACGUAGGUGGCAAGCGUUGUCCGGAAUUAUUGGGCGUAAAGGGCUCGCAGGCGGUUUCUUAAGUCUGAUGUGAAAGCCCCCGGCUCAACCGGGGAGGGUCAUUGGAAACUGGGAAACUUGAGUGCAGAAGAGGAGAGUGGAAUUCCACGUGUAGCGGUGAAAUGCGUAGAGAUGUGGAGGAACACCAGUGGCGAAGGCGACUCUCUGGUCUGUAACUGACGCUGAGGAGCGAAAGCGUGGGGAGCAAACAGGAUUAGAUACCCGCGUAGUCCCUGUCUCUUAUAA
rnacentral:rRNA from 1 species